rnacentral:tRNA from 1 species
GGGUCGUUAGCUCAGCGGUAGAGCAGUUGGCUUUUAACCAAUUGGUCGAAGGUUCGAUUCCUUCACGGCCCA